rnacentral:misc_RNA from 1 species
AAAUGUCAAUGGGUGGCCAGAUAGUAAGAUGGCGGACUGCGAGUCGGAGGUGCAGUGUCCGCCUACGAGGGAUGACGGUAUGAAUACAACAGUGACUAUGAUCAACAACGGGCGGGUGCCACAGCAUCCUAGUCCUUCAGUAAAUCCCUCCGCGCAGGGACCGCGUUGCGUUUCGAUAUACAAAACUGAAACAGGCUUCGGUUUCAACGUGCGUGGUCAAGUAAGCGAAGGUGGACAGCUGAGGAGUAUUAACGGCGAACUAUACGCGCCGCUACAACAUGUCAGCGCCGUGCUACCCCAAGGAGCUGCUGAAAAAGCCGGAGUACGAAAGGGUGACAGGAUACUCGAAGUAAACAAUGUAAACGUUGAAGGUGCAACCCACAAACAAGUAGUUGAUUUGAUAAAGUCCGGGGGUGACGUUCUUACCCUGACGGUAAUCUCGGUCACUCCUCAGGAAGCUGAGCGACUGGAACCCAUAGAGGACUUAAGCUACGGAUCGGUCGACUACAGCGAAAAGAGAUCCUUGCCUAUCAGCGUACCGGACUAUCAUGUGCGAGAACGAAAACACGAGAGAUUUGUCGUCUUCAAUGUCCACAUGGCCGGCAGACAUUUGUGCUCAAGGCGGUAUCGAGAAUUCGCAGCACUUCACAUGGCUCUGAAAAAAGAAUUCAUCGGAUUCAAUUUCCCAAAACUACCGGGGAAAUGGCCCUUCCAGCUAAGCGAGCAGCAAUUGGACGGCAGGCGACGUGGUUUAGAACAGUAUUUGGAAAAGGUAUGCGCUGUACGUGUGAUAGCGGAAAGCGAUGCUAUGCAGGAGUUCCUGACGGAUAGGCUUGAGGAAGAUGGUGACCAAGGCCCCGCCGUCGACCUCAAGGUACUUUUACCCGAUCGAGAAGUUGUCACGGUGACCGUAGCCAAGGCGGCAAGUGCGAGGGAUGUCUACGACGCGGUAUGCUGUAGAGUCGGACUCGACACCGAUACAGCAAAGUAUUUCUACCUAUUCGAAAUAGUCGAGUACAAUUUCGAACGAAAACUUCAACCUCACGAGCAUCCACAUACUUUGUACAUUCAAAAUUACUCGACAGCCAGUGCAACGUGCUUGGCAAUUCGAAGGUGGUUGUUCACACUGUCGAGACCAUUGAGCGAGCAAGCGCUGACUUGGAUCUUUUGGCAGGCGGUGGACGAGGUGAAUAGAGGACAUAUUAGUGCCGGGGAAAGAUUGUACCAAUUAAAAGCUCUUCAGGAUGCUUCGAGAAAGCAUGAGUAUUUGAAACUUGCGCGCGAAUUGAAUGGCUACGGGGAUGUCGUGUUUCCUCAUUGUGCAUGCGAUUCGCGUAAAGAAGGACAUGUAGUUGCAGCUGUUGGUGCAGCAGCGUUCAAAUUACAUGCGUGUAAAGAAGAUGGGAUCCUUGAAUCCCAGGUCGUGGAAUUCCAAUGGAAUUCCAUAGCGCGCUGGGGAGUUGAUGAGGAAAGCAUGGCAUUCUGUUUUCAGUAUACUCGACCGGACAACAGACCACCACGUUGGCUAAAAGUCUUCACGCCUUAUUAUACGUUCCUUUCUGACUGCUUCGAUCGAAUAGCGGAAGAGGCAAAGUGGAACGACCCUGGAGAAUGACGCAACGUCAGAGUCUAAAUGUUCCCUGUUGAUAAUAUUAGAUAAUGGAAAUCUUCGAAUCCUUGAAAGACAUGUAGGUAACAUGAAUACGAAUACCAGCCCCUCGAUUUACGUCGGCCUACGCCCCUGCAAAACUGCGGUCAAACGGAUGUGACCUGUUUUCAGAUCGCGGGUCCUUAGACGCUUUACCCAUAAGUAAUAAAGUAGCUGAUGGACUCGGUGUCGCAAUAUUUUUGUGUUUUUUGCUCCUUCUCAGGCUGAAUAUUUGUCUUCUGAAGCUUGAUCGUCGCAACCCCAGGUAAUUAAAACCUCCGAUAUGAUUUAUACUAUAGUCGUAUGGAAUACCUCUCCCCUCGUAACGACCAAGUAUUUUAAUGUUCAGAAUUGUCGUUCUUGAGGCAUAAAAUAAUGAAUAAUGAACUGUAAAACGGGCGCUGAAUAACACCACUAUACCAAGAAAAAGUUGAAUAAAAAAA